UACGUAGGGUGCAGGCGUUAAUCGGAAUUACUGGGCGUAAAGCGUGCGCAGGCGGUUCGGAAAGAAAGAUGUGAAAUCCCAGGGCUCAACCUUGGAACUGCAUUUUUAACUACCGGACUAGAGUAUGUCAGAGGGGGGUGGAAUUCCACGUGUAGCAGUGAAAUGCGUAGAUAUGUGGAGGAACACCGAUGGCGAAGGCAGCCCCCUGGGAUAAUACUGACGCUCGAUGCACGAAAGCGUGGGGAGCAAACAGG
rnacentral:rRNA from 1 species